UGGGUUGUGGCUCAGAGGUAGAGCACUUGCCUAGUGUGCGUGAGGCACUGGGUUCGAUCCCUGGCACCACAU
rnacentral:tRNA from 1 species